rnacentral:rRNA from 1 species
GUGCCAGACUCCUACGGGAGGCAGCAGUGGGGGAUAUUGCACAAUGGGGGAAACCCUGAUGCAGCGACGCCGCGUGUGGGAAGACGGUCCUCUGGAUUGUAAACCACUGUCCCCAGGGACGAAAAUGACGGUACCUGGGGAGGAAGCUCCGGCUAACUACGUGCCAGCAGCCGCGGUAAUACGUAGGGAGCGAGCGUUGUCCGGAAUUACUGGGUGUAAAGGGCGUGUAGCCGGGCCGGCAAGUCAGAUGUGAAAUCCCAAGGCUCAACCUUGGAACUGCAUUUGAAACUGUUGGUCUUGAGUAUCGGAGAGGCAGGCGGAAUUCCUAGUGUAGCGGUGAAAUGCGUAGAUAUUAGGAGGAACACCAGUGGCGAAGGCGGCCUGCUGGACGACAACUGACGGUGAGGCGCGAAAGCGUGGGGAGCAAACAGGAUUAGAUACCCGGGUA